rnacentral:rRNA from 1 species
GACGAACGCUGGCGGCGUGCUUAACACAUGCAAGUCGAACGAAGAGCGACGGAAGCUUGCUUCUAUCAAUCUUAGUGGCGAACGGGUGAGUAACGCGUAAUCAACCUGCCCUUCAGAGGGGGACAACAGUUGGAAACGACUGCUAAUACCGCAUACGAUCUAACCUCGGCAUCGAGGAUAGAUGAAAGGUGGCCUCUACAUGUAAGCUCUCACUGAAGGAGGGGAUUGCGUCUGAUUAGCUAGUUGGAGGGGUAACGGCCCACCAAGGCGAUGAUCAGUAGCCGGUCUGAGAGGAUGAACGGCCACAUUGGGACUGAGACACGGCCCAGACUCCUACGGGAGGCAGCAGUGGGGAAUCUUCCGCAAUGGACGAAAGUCUGACGGAGCAACGCCGCGUGAGUGAUGACGGCCUUCGGGUUGGAAAGCUCUGUUAAUCGGGACGAAAGGCCUUCUUGCGAAUAGUGAGAAGGAUUGACGGUACCGGAAGAGAAAGCCACGGCUAACUACGUG